rnacentral:rRNA from 1 species
GAUGAACGCUAGCGGCAGGCUUAACACAUGCAAGUCGAGGGGCAGCACGGGUAGCAAUACCUGGUGGCGACCGGCGCAAGGGUGCGUAACGCGUGAGCAACAUGCCCUAUACAGGGGGAUAAUCCAGGGAAACUUGGUCUAAUAUCCCAUAGCAUUUAGAGGAGGCAUCUUCACUAAAUUAAAGCUUCGGUGGUAUAGGAUUGGCUCGCGUGACAUUAGCUAGAUGGUGAGGUAACGGCCCACCAUGGCUAUGAUGUCUAGGGGUUCUGAGAGGAAGACCCCCCACACUGGGACUGAGACACGGCCCAGACUCCUACGGGAGGCAGCAGUGAGGAAUAUUGGACAAUGGAUGGAAAUCUGAUCCAGCCAUGCCGCGUGCAGGAAGACGGCCCUAUGGGUUGUAAACUGCUUUUAAUGGGAGCAAUAAGGUUUACGAGUAGACCGAUGAGAGUACCAUAUGAAUAAGCAUCGGCUAACG